rnacentral:lncRNA from 1 species
CCACAAUAUCCAAUUGCCACCUUGCAUAUUGAACUAAUUCAUUAUCUUAUAAAAUGGACCACAAAGUGCUUUUAGAGUUCCGUUAUACAAUUAAACUAGACAUCGAAUUUUAGAUAAGAUCUUUGGACACCCGUUUUUCCUUGCGCAUGUUGAUGUUGAGGUAAAUCUCCAAGUCUUUUUCCUUCAUCAGCUUAGCAAGUGUUUUCAACAUAUGCAACAACUCUACAACAAGCUCACCUCGCUUGUAGUGCUACUAGAUUCACCGUUGUUAUGCAAUUCACACUUUUCUUUGACGGAUUUUUACACCAUUUAAAAUACUUGCAAUCGCGAGUAUAACAAUGAAACAACUACCAUUUAUGUUUGAAGAAUAUGUAAUCUUUAUUCUUAUUUCAAUGAUAAAACAAUGUACAAUUUAUAGAAAAAACAGAAGAAAUAAAUCACUUCCUUAAAUCAAGGAAAGAUUUAAUUUCCUAAACUACUCUGCUAACUAAAUGCCUAAGAAUUGGAAUUGAUAAAAAUAAUACCCCUUAAUUGGGGAACUAAUUUACAUAUGUAGGAUCUGCUAGAAAUUAGGACUGAAAAUCAGGAAGUUUACUAGGUUAUAAAUGUUUACCAAACCUAGCUUGGAACUUAGUUCUUCAAAUGUUUUUCUUGGUACCGCCUUAAUGAGAAUAUCUGCAUUCUAUUGACAUGUUAGAGUGUAAAGUAGAGAUAUUAUCCCAGACUCUAUUUUCUCUUUAACAAAGUGUCGAUCAAUUUUCACGUGUUUUGUCCUGUCAUGAUGAAUUGGAUUCUUUGCUAUGAUGAUGGCAGAUUGAUUGUUGUAAUAUAUCUUCAUAGGAUCUAUAACUGGAAUAUUAAAUUCUUGAAGGACCUUUCUUAGCCAUAUUGCUUCACACAUGCCAUGAGCUAAAGCUCUAAAUUCUGCUUCUGCACUGCUUCGAGAUACAACAUAUUGUUUUUUACUUCUCCAAGUGGCUAAAUUUUCCCAGACGUAAGUGCAAUAACCAGAAGUUGAUUGUCGGUUAGUUAUGGACCCGACUCAAUCUGCAUCAGUGAAGAUAUCAACUUUUCUGCUUGAAGUCUUCUUGAAGAGUAAUCCUUUGCCUGGAGUCAUCUUUCGAUACCUUAGAAUUCCAAAAACAGCCUUUAUGUGUUCUUCAAUUAGUUUAUUCAUAAAUUGACUCACCUUAUUGACAGAGAAACUGAUAUCUGGUCUAGUGUGGGAAAGAUAAUUAAGUUUCCCAACUAUUCUUUGGUAUUUAUCCUUAUCCAUGGGUGCACUAUCUUUCCUUGUUCCCAGUUUGAUAGAUAAAUCCACAGGAGUGUUAACAUGUUUACAACCAAGCAUUCCCGUUUCCUUUAGGAGAUCCAGUACAUGCUUUCGCUAAGAGACUGAUAUUCCUAUUUUCAAUCGUGCCAAUUCCAUCCCAAGGAAGUACCUGAGAUUGCCUAGAUGUUUAAUCUCAAAUUCUUUAGCUAAGAAUCCUUUGAGCUUGAAUAUCUCUUCUUCAUGAUCUCCUGUCAAGAUGAUAUCAUCUACAUACAUAAUAAGAAUCGCCCUUUAUUCUGUAGAUGAUUGUUUAAUAAGCAUAGUAUGAUCUACUUAACAUUGAGUGUACCCAAAGCUCUUUAAUCCUUUAGUAAAUCUGUCAAACCAGGCCCUUGGAGAUUGUUUGAGACCAUAUAAUGAUUUUCUAAACUUACAAACCUUGUUUAUAGUAGUUUGAGUCGCAAAACCAGGGGGAAUGUCUAUGUAAACCUCUUCCUCUAGGUCUCAUUAAAGAAUGCAUUCUUCACAUAUAGUUGAUAUAAUGGCCAAUCUAGGUUGGAGGCUAAUGACAACAAUAUGCGAAUUGUAUUAAGUUUGGCAACAAUAGCAAAUGUUUCUUGAUAGUCAAUUUCAUAAGACUGCGUGAAUCCUUUUGCUACCAAAUGAGCCUUGAAUCUGUUCACACUUCCAUCUACAUUAUGUUUAACAGUAAAGAUCCACUUGCAUACUACUGGGCAUUUUCCAGUUGGCAGAUCAGAUAUUUUCCAUGUCCCAUUUUGUUCCAAUGCUUGAAUUUCUUCUAAAACUGCAGUUUUCCAUUCUGGUACAACAAGUGCUUCAUGUAUAGAAUUAGAAAUUUGCACUUUGUCAAGAUUGCUAACAAAAAUGCUCGAUAACCAGUUCACAGCCUAUUGUAUGAAAUAAAAUUACAAAUAGGAUGGAAGGUGUAGGACCUCACACCUUUUCGCAAGGCAAUCGGCAAAUAAAAAUCAUCAUUAGGAAUUUUAAUAGGAGCCGAAUUGGAGCUGGUGUUACCUGGUGAAAUUUCUCAAGAUUUUGGAGUCAGGUCGGACUCAUAUUUAUGCUCAGGUGGUUGUUCUCUUCUUUCCUAAGUUUUGUUUCUCCUAGUGUAGACAUGUAACUCACAAGAAUUAGCAGGGAUGCUUUGCUUUGGAAUUUGAGAUUCUGGUUCAGUUCAAAAAUUAAUGGUGUUGUCUGGGACUCUAAUGAUGGUAUGUCAACCUGAACAAUCAUGUUUGGAGUCUGAUUUAAUUGAGGAAUUUCGGUUGAAGGUAUAGAUAGAUUCGUGGUGAGAGAUAGAUUGGAAGUCUCAAUGUCCCAAAGCUGGUAUUCCCAUGUAAUGUAAAGUUUUCCCCCUGAAUAUCAAAUUUGGGGUAAUAAGGUUGUUGUUCAAAGAAGGAGACAUCCAUGGAGUUGUAGAAUUUUCUUGUAAUUGGAGAGUAGCAUUUAUAACCCUUUUGACAUGAGGAAUACCUAAUGAAGAUACAUUUGAGGGCCUUAGGAUCAAGUUUACUUCGAUUUUAAGGGUGUAUGUGGACAAAUACGGAACAGCCAAAAAUUUUAAAUGGAAUGGUAGACAGGACUCGAGUAGUAGGAUAUGAUUGGAGAACCUUUUGACAUGAGGAAUACCUAAUGAAGAUACAUUUGAGGGCCUUAGGAUCAAGUUUACUUCGAUUUUAAGGGUGUGUGUGGACAAAUACGGAACAGCCAAAAAUUUUAAAUGGAAUGGUAGACAGGACUCGAGUAGUAGGAUAUAAUUGGAGAAGGACUUGGUAGGAUGUCUGAAAGUUCAACACUCGUGAGGGCAUUCUAUUUAUUAAAUAUGUAGCAGUUAAUACUGUCUCUCCCCAAAAAAAAUUUAGGAACAUGUGUGGUGAACAUAAGUGAUCGAGCAACUUCUAAAAGGUGCAUAUUUUUUCUUUCAGCUACCCCAUUUUGUUAGGACAUGUCCAUAUAAGAACUUUGAUGAAUGAUGCCCUGACUAACUAGAUAAUCUCCUAGGAUGGUGUCAAAAUAUUCUUUGGCGUUAUCAAUUUUUAAGACUUGUAUUUUUGUCUGGAACUGUGUCUAGAUCAUAGUGUUAAAGUUUUUGAAAAUUUGACGAGCUUCAAAUUUUUCUUUCAUAAGAAAUAACCAUGUAAUCCUAGAGUGAUCAUCUACAAAGGAUAUGAACCAUCUAGUUCCAGUAAUAUUUUUAAUUCUAGAUAGCCCCCCACACAUCACUAUGGAUUAAUGAGAAAGGAUGAGAUGCUUUGUAAGGUUUGAUGAAAUAAGAGCUGCGAAUAUGUUUUGCAAAUUGACAUACUUCACAUUGAAACUCCUUUGGAUUUUUAUUAUUGAAUAAGGAAGAAAAUAACUUCUGAAGAUACAAGGAAUUUGCAUCACCUAAACGGUAGUGCCACAACAUGAUUUCAGUAUCUUUAUUGAAUUAACCAAUGGAAACAAAGCUUUGAGAAAAUUGACUCUUGGGCUUUACACUUUCUGCUUUGUGAGUUUGUCCUUUAAGAGAUUCAUCAACUCUAAGAAGAUAAGACCUAAGCACACCUCAGCACUGCCAAUCAUCCUCCCCGGAUCCAAAUCUUGAAAUUCACACAAAUUUGAAUAGAAUUUAGUAACACACUUAUGUUCUUGAGUGAGCUUACUAAUUGACGGGAGAUUGCAAUUCAAUUUUGGUACAUAAAGCACUGAAUUUAGUGUGAAAUUUCUGGAAAUAAUAAUAGAACCUAUGCUAGCAACCUUCAUGACUGAUCCAUCAGCUAUUUUCACAGUAAAAUUUUCACAGCAUGGAUUAUAUUGGUCAAAGAGAUUAAUAUCUCCAGUCAUGUGAUCUAAUGCACCUGAGUCUAAAAUCCAUAGAUUUAUUCUUUUCUUUAUUUGUCGUAAGAGCACUUAAAGAAUUACCAGUGUGUGCUAAGGACCCAGUUCCAAUUAUGUUACCAGGUGGGGCUUGUGAUGACUGUGAAAACAUCUUUUGUAAUACUUCAAGUUGCUCUUUACUGAAAGGAUUUGGUUUGGUUGCUGUGGUGCUUUCACCAGUGAAGACAUGAUUUCCUCGUUUUUCUUUGUUGAAAGGUGGUCUUGUGGGCUUCCAAUCUACUAGUUUGCCAUGUAUUUUCCAGUAAUUAUCAUCAAUGUGUCCUGGUACUUUGCAAUGAUUACACCAAGGUCUACCCUUCUUUUGCCGAUAGUCACUGUUGUGGUGUUGUCCUACGUGUAAAGCAAGAGCUGAAUUUUCAGUGACUGGGACAGUGACGGAGAUCCAAGCAUUUUCUUCCUUCUGCUUUCUUCACGACGCACUUCUGAAAAUGUCUCCCGGAUGUUGGGCAAUGGUUUCGAUCCUAGAAUUCUUCCCCGAACUUCAUCAAGGUCCUUGUUAAGACCCAUUAAGAAUUUAAAAAUUCUUUUCUUUUCAGUAAUUUCCCUAUAUUUUUUUCCAUCUGUAGGGUACUCCCAACUAUGUUCUUCGAAGACAUCUAAUCGUUGCCAAUGAAGAGUUAGAAUAUUGAAAUAUUGAGUUACCGAUAAAUUACCUUGUCGAAGGUCAUGGAGAACGGUUUCAAUCUCAAAUGAUUCUGAGGUAUUUUUAUUACUGGAAUAGAUUUCCUUUGCUGCAUCCCAUAUUUCUUUAACAGUGUCGUAGAGUAGGAAAUUUUCUCCAAUUUCAUUUGUCAUAGAAUUGAUUAGCCAAGACAUGACCAUAUUAUUUUCUGACUUCCACAGUUUGAAUUUUGGAUCUGUGGUUGUUGGAGGAGUAGACACUCCAGUGAUAAAAUCAUCCUUCCCCUUUCCGCAGAUGAACAUCAUGACUGAUGCGACCAUUGGAUGUAAUUAUUUCCAUUCAACCUGUGCCUGUGAUGAGAAGAUGAUUGCUCUCUGAUCCGCUAUUAGAACUUGUGGCAGGAACAUCAUGGUGUGAAGAAGUUUUAUUUUCUGCAGCCAUGCCAUACUUUGUCAUGGAAAUUCCUUAGGUUUCAGAGGUUGCUCUUCAUACUUCCUUAAAUCAAAGAAAGAUUUAAUUUCCUAACUACUCUUUUGACUAAAUGCCUAAGAAUUGGAGUUGAUAAAAAUAACAUCCCUUAAUUGGGAAACUAAUUUACAGCUGCAGGAUCUGUUAGAAAUUAGGACUAAAAAUCAGGAAUUCUACAAUGUUCAUUGUACUUUUCCACCUCCAUCCAUUUGGUGAAGCCUGCGUCCUAGUUUGGGCAUCGUUUUUUUUUUUUUUUUUGGGCAUUCCGGCAACGUAUGUCCUGCUUGUCUACAACAAUGACAAAUUUCCCUAUUCUUGUUUGCCAUCGAACUAAUCUAGUUCAACAGCAUGAAAGAAUCACAUCAACAUAACACAAAUUUAAUUUUUUAGAUAAAAUAUUAAACAUACCAUCAUAACCAAAUAAAUUUAAGCAGUUAGAGGUUCACAUGCCAUGGAAAACUUAAUCAACAUUAGAUUUUCUACAUGUUCACAUCUAUUCCAUACACGUCCACUUCAGAUUUUCUAGACAUCUAUUAAGGUUUAAAAUGUGUACAAGUUAUUUCAGUGGAAGGAUUCCAAACUAGUCUUGCUUGAAAACCAGAACUACUUGUUCUAGUUUAAGUUCAAAACCUUGGAUAAGAAUAUUAAACCAAUUAAGACUUGAAGAAAACUGACCACACUCAACCUUGAUCUUACUUUGUGUGGAUAUCUCAUAUUUUCUAGUUGAAGUUACACGAAAUUGUUCAACUACUGGUGUCCUUACACUAUAUUCAUCACAUCGCCAUUUGAGCAUUUCAUCAAACAUCUGGUGGGCAGAUUGGAAAACUGUACUUCCCUGCACUAUUAGUCCUGGCAAUUAAACAAGAAGAUAAUGCAAUUGAUACUGAAGACGAUUGUGAAAUAUAAUCUUGCUUUCAUCACUUUCAAAAAUCUAGAAGAGCCAAAGAGCUCCACUACCAAUAUUGACGACCAACCCACACAAUUUUCAAAAUUUUAAAUUGAUAACAAAAGCUUUCAAACGGAAAAAGGGCCAGACGAGCGGAGCCAUGCAAGACCGUUGGCUGGAUAUCAAGUAUAGAAAUUUUAACGGCAGAGAAAUCACAUAUAUGUCACCUUCUUCUUAGUUACCCAAGACGAAUGAGGAAGUUGUUGAUGGGUUGCCAUCGGACAGGGUGGAAUGACGAUCGUAAUGGUUAUGCGGCGGCCAGAUGUAUUUCGGUGGUCACCAAAAAAAUUCCUGCAACUGGAAGAAGACCCGAGCACCGACAUUUUUUGCAGCCGAACGAUCGAUGUCGCCUGGAAUUUUGGAGAGUAGGAGAGCUUUAUCUUGGUAGCAGCCGCAAUGGAUGGAGUAAAAAUUAGGGAUUAGGUUUCCAAUACGGUCUUCACCAGGGAAUCGAUUUUGGCUGCUUUUGUGUUCUCCUUUUUCCCCUUCCAAUUUCCACAUCAGCACUUUAAGCCAAGUUGUAACAGUAGCUAUAUAUGUAGCAACAUUGUAGAAGAACUAGACAAAAUAGGUUUGCUUAUAAAAUAGCAACUCACAUGGAAUAAAGUUAUCGGCAUGUGUCUCCCAGCCAGGGUGGCAAUCGAUAAU